UGAAUACGAGACGCUAAGGCGUCGAAGUAGUGUAUGUCAUACUUCCAAGAAAAGCUUGCACUGUCAUAGAUAAAAAACGCCUGUACCAUAACCGACACAGGUGGGUAGGUAGAGUAUACUAAGGGGCGCGAGAUAACCCUCUCUAAGGAACUCGGCAAAAUGACUCCGUAACUUCGGGAGAAGGAGUGCCUUAUUCUUAAGGUUGCAAUAACAAGAUCCAAGCAACUGUUUAUCAAAAACACAGGUCUCCGCUAAGUCGUAAGACGAUGUAUGGGGGCUGACGCCUGCCCAGUGCCAGAAGGUUAAAGAAGCUGGUUAGCAUUUGCGAAGCUAGUAACUGAAGCCCUGGUGAACGGCGGCCGUAACUAUAACGGUCCUAAGGUAGCGAAAUUCCUUGUCGGGUAAGUUCCGACCCGCACGAAAGGCGUAAUGAUUUGGAUACUGUCUCGGAGAGGGGCUCGGUGAAAUAGACUUGUCUGUGAAGAUGCGGACUACCUGCACCAGGACAGAAAGACCCUAUGAAGCUUUACUGUAACUUGAAAUUGAAAUUGGACUUUAUUCGCGCAGUAUAGGUGGGAGGCGUUGAUUAUAAUCUUGCGGGAUUAUUGGAGCCAUUAGUGAGAUACCACUCUUGUAAUGUUAGAUUUCUAACUUUGAAUCAUAUCUGGUCAAAGAACAGUUUCAGGCGGGCAGUUUGACUGGGGCGGUCGCCUCCCAAACGGUAACGGAGGCGUACAAAGGUUUCCUCUGAACGGUUAGAAAUCGUAUCUAGAGUGUAAAGGCAUAAGGAAGCUUGACUGUGAGACCUACAAGUCGAGCAGGGACGAAAGUCGGUCUUAGUGAUCUGACGGUACUGAGUGGAAAGGCCGUCACUCAACGGAUAAAAGUUACUCUAGGAUAACAGGCUGAUCUCCCCCAAGAGUUCACAUCGACGGGGAGGUUUGGCACCUCGAUGUCGGCUCAUCGCAUCCUGGGGCGGUAGUACGUCCCAAGGGUUGGGCUGUUCGCCCAUGAAAGCGGUACGCGAGCUGGGUUCAGAACGUCGUGAGACAGUUCGGUCCAUAUCCGGUGUAGGCGUUAGAAUAUUGAGAGGAGCCUUCUUUAGUACGAGAGGACCGAGAAGGACAUACCUCUGGUGUACCAGUUAUCGUGCCAACGUUAGACGCUGGGUAGCUAUGUAUGGAGUGGAUAACCGCUGGAAGCAUCUAAGUGGGAAGCCCACCUCAAGAUAAG
rnacentral:rRNA from 1 species